CACGCACAAAGCAAUAGAUGGUGUUGUUUUUUUUCUUUUUAAGGGCACUGGAAGCCUUUCGGUACCUUCUUCCCACAGUAGUUAAGGAGCAGGCUGAGGUCGACGGGGAUGUUGAGCUUGAUCCCCAGGAUAUUGGCCUUAAGUGCAGUGCAGAGGCAUACGGCAGCCUCGAGGUCGACGAGGCCUUCGAGCAGAGUGCAGCAGGGCUUCUUGGGUGGCUUGCCGAUGUUAACGAUCAAAGCUUUCAGCACGUCGGCGCACACACCUAGCUUAAGGGUGUUCAUGGGGCAUCUGCCCUUGGAAGGGCUUGGGCUGGGGCACGUUUCGCAGGCACUGGCCGAGGCGAAGAGGAGGAGGUUGAGGGCGAGGAAGAGGGCAGCUGACGCUGAGGGCUUGGAUGCCAUGGCUUCUGCUGUCAUAGCUUGCACUCACUAAAUUGCAGGCUCUGGUUUUUGUGAAAGUUAUGCAAUGGAAGUUGGUGCUGGGUUCGGUAUUUAUAGGCCUCGGAGGGGGAGGAAGGAAGACAAAGGAAGCAAUAUGAAUCCGUUGGGCAAGGGUGUUUUAGCUGGCAAAGCACAAGAUCAGCAUUCGGAUGGUCAAGUUGCCAUAGAACGGUGAUAAUUUAAUUGUUGCGUGCAAGACUGCUUCUGUAAUCGUAUUUUAGUUUUAGAGUAAUGCUUGGGUGAUGACUGUGGAGCCCAAACUAGAUGGUCCUAUAUUAAACCCCUCAUUUUCUCUCAUCGGGAUUUCUGGUGAAGGAAUCUAUAUGACCAUAUGCAUGCAUGUACGCGCGUAUGUACAUAUAUAAUUUUUUUUCCGUGAUUAUGAUUGAAUUGUUUAUGCCAUAUCAGUUAUUAUAUAUUCUAAGAAUCCAUGGAUUGGGUUCUUGCACUAAAAGUGGUACUGAACAAUCUAGUGAUGAGGAAUUUGCCUGACGGUAUGGUAUCCUUAUUUGGGAACUUCAUGCAUUGCUCCAUGAAACUAUAGUAUGGAAAAAUGACUACUCAUCAAAGCUACACAUUCUCAAGAGAAAGAACGAGGGAAUACUAUGGUUAAUUCCAAGUUAAAAGGAGCCAUCAGAAUGCAAAGCUCCAUAGUCUAUUAACUUAAUAUAUGGAAUCAUUUUUAGAGAAAAAAUUAGAAUUCAGAAGGAGGACAAAUCUUGGAGACAUCUUGCUGUAAUGGCUCCUAAUGGAACCAUAUGCUAUCAUAGGUGAACCACAUGCGGGCAUUUUCUAAGAAGAACCAUUAAGCUAAUAUUGAUCUGUUUAUGUAAUCAAGAAUCGAACAUAAUAUUCCGGUACAUACUCGGGCCUAAUAUGGUUCUUUAGUUUUUAUAACAACCUUUUAUUACCCCUAAGGUUUGAUACCUUUCAUACAUCCAGUGCAUGGUAAAUUACGGUGCAUAAUUCUUCUUAGGAAAAGAUAAGCGCUACAAAUCAUAUAACAAGUCACUCUCAUCUCUUCUUGACAGUUUCCGAAAAAAAAAAGGCAAGAAAAAGACAGAAGAAAAGGAAUAAAGUGACUACAAGGAUUAGAAAGAUUGAUUCAGAUCUAGACUGACUCAUGCAUGUCCUGGACUUAUGCUAAUACCUGGAAUUCCCCACAAGCAAUGCAAGAACAGGCCGUUCUUGCACAAAGUGACUGUCUAUUCUAUUCUGUAUAUAUGCACUCUCUAUGGCUUCUAAACAAUGCCGAAGGUUUAAGAGAAACUCGAUUUUAACCAGUAUCCAGGAUUUGAAACCCGAUCCCCGUGGGAGAGGUUCCAACCAACUGAGCAAACAAUUGCUCCAUCUGUUCUUUUAUGCACUCAGGAUAGCACAUCGUGCCUUUCGAAGUUGGAACCCAUGAAACAGUGAAAUGUCUCGUGAACUGCAGAACUAGUGAUUGAUUUGGUGGCUUUAUUCCUCAACGAUCCAAUUAUAGCGAUCCUCUACAAGUUGGGCGGGUUUUGACCUAGACCGACAAAUGUUAGUUAGAUACGUAUUUAUCUAGGAAAUACAACAUUUUUUGUCAUGACUAUUGCCAGCUUUCUUCUUCAAAUGCUUGCACAGAUAUUUCUAUGCAGGCUUUGGAACUACCAUCCGCAUGGUUCUUACAUGCCAUCCCGUUCACUCUUGAGAGACAGAAAGAACCAUCCAGUUCGCUUUAGGUGGCAUUAAAAGCAAGGAAAUUAAGAUGGCCCCAUUUUGAUGGACGCCAUGUAUAGACGCAAGGGAAUGUAUUGAGUGUGCUGCACGGAUGGCAGUUCCAGCACCGACGUUGAAAUUUCUCUGUGGGCACUCCAGACAGAACCUAGUCCCCCAACAUAUAUAUAGACAGCAUAAGCCCAAGUCUCAACAACAAAAAAUAAAGAUGAGAAUUGCAAAAUUAGAACAUUAUUGCAAGGACCCAUAUGGGCAUGUAUUACUACAUAUCACUUGGAAAGAUCUUGCAUGGAUAUUUGUAGAGAUUCAAAAAAUCUAAAUAAUACCAUUCAGUUAGUCCUUUUAGGUGAGAUUUUUGAUUGUACAAAUGAUAUCAGAAUGGAACCAAUCCAUGGCCCAUGUGGACUAUAUGGUAACUGCAGCUAGCAUUGGGCCUUUUGGAGUUGACAAUGAUCUUAUCAUGUUGUUUGCGAUUAAAUUUGAUGACAUUUGAACUCUUAAUCCGUCGAGGAUAUAUAUCAUGAUUUAUAUGGAGGAUGGAUAUGUGUGAGAAUCUAUGUGGGCAAAUAUUUACCCUCAUAUCAAUUGUGAUACUUAUACAAGGUCAAGAUAUCCAAAUAGCAUCUUCUAACGAUCCUUUUUGAGUGAGCUCUCGUGCUUUUACAAUUAUGGAGAACCAAAUAACCUCAGAGAGUGCAAUCUUGUGGCCUUCCUCAAUAAGACCUCCCUGGGCUCUCUCCACUGCUUCAUCCUCUUCUAUCCAGUCCACCUCUAAGUCCAUCACUUCAUUUCUAAGGAAGAGCUCCUACAUCGUCACACUUCAAUAUUGAUUAUGCGAUACUUAUAUAAAACUAAGGAAUCCAAAAAAAUACCUUUAACUAGUUUUUUUUGGGUGAGGCUCCGGAUUUUUACAACUCCAACAAUGUUGUCUCAUAGCCUUCCUUACCAAAACCUCUUAGGGAUUGCUCUAGUGCCUUGGCCUCUUCUUGACGAUCAAUCUCCCGGUCCUUCAGAUAGCCUCAACAGGAUCUCAUGGCUUGGUUCUUCUAUUAAUGCGAGGGACCAAAACCCAUUAGAUUAUUAGUGCCAUAUCCAUAUAGAUCUAAUCACCUCCAGUAUUUUGCUCACCAACUAGAUCAUCAACCACCCUAGGCUUACUAACCUUAUUAUUUGUCGACCCAACAACUAGCUUGGGUCCACCACUGCAAAGCUUCAACACUUGUCUGACCGUUGGGGCUCAUUGCUUGGCUUGGUCAUGCAUCAACCGUCCACCAGAAGCUCUUAAAUCUACUUGGCAGGUCGACCCUCUUGGUUAUACGACGACACUGACAACUCACCACCGAUAAGCUCUUGCAUAAGAAGCCCACUGCAUGAUCUAACUUCCCAUCGAGGUUCUGCUUGCUCCAUAGCUAGAAGAGAUCCCAAGCUAUGCUCCACCAUCAGGACUACUCCGCUCGGGACCUCUUCCAUCACUGUGAUACGCUAGUAAAUGUUAGCAAUUUAUGGGCAUUAAAUCUCCAUCUACAAAGAUCAACAGUACCUAUUGCCAGAUUUCAUAGCAUCACGGAAUAUCUUUGUGUUUCUCCAUUUUUCUUAUGAUUGAUUUGUAGGAACUAAAUACUUCUCAAUUCUCCUUGUCCUCUACAUUUUCUACUCUCUCUUCAAAUUUGAUUAUGUAAUUUAUCUCAAUUGAAUAAAUUUAUAUAUGGUAGGAUUUUAACUUUUUCGUAUUUAUUUUUACUAGUCAUGUCUAUUUUUGUAAAGCUAGUGCUGUUCUAACUAGAAGAGAAAUCUUACCCGAAUUAUACUAGGACGUAUCUUACUAUUAUAAAUAGAAGCUAGGUUCUAAGUUUUUGAAUCAUCAAUGAAAGAAAAGAGAACCUAAAUCCUAUUUUCAUCAUUUUUUAUUUUUUAAAUUUUUUUUGAGAUAUUCGAGUUGAGUAUGUUGAAGAAUUUUUUUUCUUUCCAAUUGGAUCAAAAUAUAAUUCAAUACAUAUUUAUUCUUCGGGGAUACACAUCCUAUUAGAGAAAAAUUAAUUUUUCUUGAUUAAUUCCACACAUAAAUUAUAAUCGGCUUAACAGAAAUAGGCGGAAGCUUAGCAUCUCAUAAUCUACAAUCAUCUUUCUUCUUUUAACUUUGCCCAUAAUUUAAUAAUCAACCUUUAUCCUAGGAAAACAUAAGAUCUCUUCAAAUUAAUAGAUUAACUAUUUUAGAGAUAGAAGUAGAAGAUCUAUGUCAAAACAUUCUAGGUUCGAGCCCAACCAAGAAACAUUCAAUCCAUUAACGCUAAAUCUUCUCAAGAGUUGUUAACAAUAGAAGAGUUCAUCGGUGAAAAGUGCAUAGCUACUUUCAGUAGCCAAAAAUUACCAUAUUCUCCUUUUCUAGCUCAGGUCUUCUAUCAUAAUAACUUUCAGAUCAAAGUAUUAUUGUUUCUAACCAAUUUCAAAAUAUCUCAAACCACCAUAGUUUCACUGCGCACUCUGAUCUAACCCAACAAAUACUCUAAGGACACUAAAUGAUUUCUAACCGAAAUAUCACUUUGCAUUGGGACUAAAAAAAUUCAAAUUUUAAAUAUUUGAGUAUAGGAUUGGAGCAAAAUUUCCAGAUCUCCUUAGCCUCAAUUAUAUAAAGUGUACUUACCAUUACUAACCCUCAAACCAAUAGUCAAGUUUAAGAUCACUGCAUAAUCUUCAUAACCUUUUUAGAAUUCAAAAUAUCUAGGUUUAAUUAAAAGUGAAUCAUUCUCGAUUUCCUUAGUAAUUUGAUUAGACAAUCUAGAUCGAUCUUUCUUUCAAAAGAUUUACUCCAAAUGCCAACGAGUUAGAAAACUCUGUGCUAAUAUCACUAUAUGCAGAAUUAACUCUAUUGACCUCCAAUUCUUUAUUCACCAAGAUUUUCAGCAAUGUUAUAUGUGAUAACUCAUGUAAGCACAUCUAUUCAAUAUGAUAUUUUACUAGUGGCUUCAUCAACAAUAACAAAAGAUCCUCGAUCCAAAUAUGAGAAUUCAAUUUACUAAAAUUUUCCAUCAAUAUGCAUACUCUGAAUAUCACUUAAAAUUCAUGUAGUCCUUCUAUACUCAUUAUAUACCAAAGCUCAAAUAUAUAUUUUAUCAGAUAUAUUUCUGCCACAAUUCCUAAUGAUCUUAAACCUGAGCUCUAUACAUAAGAAGUUAUUUGGUUCCUUGAUCUUAUAUAAGUACCAAAAUCUAUCGAGCGAAUAACCAAUGUGGGACUAAACACAUUUCCGUAUGGGUCGUCAGAGAUAGAAAUCAUAAACAACAAAAAUACCACUGAACAAUACACUUUUAUUAAAGCAAUUGCGACUUCAACACAUAAUUCAAAGCACCAAUAACAGCUCUUCGAGCGUGCUGUCUCAUCUCCUUCCUUGCCAAUACAUUGAAUGUUGAUCACGAGCAGUGACACAAGAACAAGAACUCACAAGAACUCCAUACGAGAACAUGAAGAAAAAAUGAAAAAAAAUACCGUUCUGGAUAAGAAUUCAAACACAACAAAUCGAACCAAGGAAGAGAAAGACUUGGAGUGCUCAAGGGCACUGGAAUCCUUUGGGGGUAUUCUUUCCACAGUAGUUAAGCAGCAGGCUAAGGUGGAUGGGGAGGUUAAGCUUGAUCCCCAGAAUGUUAGCCUUGAGUACAGUGCAGAGGCAGACGGCAGCCUCGAGGUCGACGAGUCCAUCAAGCAAAGAGCAGCAGGGCAGCUUGGGUGGCUUGCCAAGCUUAAGGUGGAUCAAGCCGUUCAGCACGUCGGCACAGACGCCUAGCUUGAGUGCAUCGACAGGGCACUUGCCACUGCCGGAGCCGGAGCCGGAGCCGGAGCCGGAGCCGGAGGGAGGGCAUGGGGUGGGCGUGGGGUGCUUCGGGGGUGGGCUGAUGCAGUUGCUACAUGCACUGGUGAGGGUGAAGAAGAGGAGAUUGAGGGCAAGGAAGAGGGCAGCUGAGGCUGAGGGCUUGGAUGCCAUGGCUUCAGUAAUGCCCACAAUAACACUAGUAUGCGACUGUGGAAGUGGUUUAGUGCUGUAGUGGAUUAGUCGGUAAUUGGUUUCAGUAUUUAUAGAGAAUUAGGAGGGGGGAGAGUUGGUACCUAGGGUUUGAAAUGUUGUAAUGGAGACAAAAAGCUUUACUGGAUGACACAUGGUGGAUCCAUUUUGCGGUAUAGUUAUAGCUGGCAAUGCAAGUGAUGAAGGUUGGGCUGUUUUGUAGGGUUUCUAGGUUGGGGGGCAAGUUAAGCUAUAUUUUAGUCUAUCCCCUGGCAUGCAUCACAUGAUAUGAUAGUAUAUCCGCACCAAGAGUUCUGAGAUCAUUAUGACUUGUAUAUAUAAAUCGAAGGAAAAUUCUGCUUUCGCACAGGAGAAAGCAGCUCGUGAUAUUCCUGCCGCCCGUCCGUGAAUGAACAGGCAUCAUUCGCCAGCAAUGAUGGGACGAAGAAGUGGCGUGGUCAAUCUCGCAUUCACAUUGCAGGAUGAGCAUUGGGAUUCCAAUCACUUUUCAAUAAAAUAAUACACUGCGAACAACUUCGUUAGCGUCUUACGUGUUGUCUGACAAAAGCUGCAAACUUAAUUUGCAUUCAUUCGCUUCUCAACGUUUAGGGUUGCAAACAAGUCUAGCAGAGCUGAGACAACUAGGGCUUAGCUCAUUAGGUUCUAGGAUUGCUUGACCUCAAGCGGAACCGAGUACAAGUUGUUCGAGCCUGGCACAUAUAGCUUCUAAGCCAAGCUGAGCUCCUCUAAAUUUUGCAGCCAGAUCAUAUUCAAAGUCGGUUUAGGAACCAGCUCGUUCACGAACCAAUCCACUGGAACUCGGAUCACUUUAGCCGGAACGAGCCGAUCUUGGGCGUGAACAAGCCCCAGGCAGUCUUGGGAUGGUCACAUGCCUGUAUUUUGCCUGCUCUUUAGUUUUCUUUGCGAGCACAAGGAUCCGAAGAUCCUGUGAGUGCGUGGCAAUCCCAGAAAUUCUGUCAAAGGAUGGCUGAAUAAUUUCUAUUUUGGAAUAGUUGCUGUUUUUAUUUGGUACAACGUCAUCUUUUGUUCUGUUUCUUUGUUUGUUUUAGGGUCUGUUUUAGUUUUCAUUCAUAUAAUUUUAAUUUGGUUAGGACUUUAAAUUUUAGAAGAAGAAAGGUCCAUUUGAAGGAGGGAACAUCGUCUUUAGAGGCAUUCUUGUUUUAAUGAAUAAAAUCUAUUUUCCCAAGUUUUGGAAGUUUUGAAAAUUAUUAUUAGAAUUAUCGGUUUCAGCUCGCUGGAAUUGAUCUUUGAGUCUUAUUAAUUCAGCAUUUGCUGAAUUCUUUCGCCAUCGUUUUCACUGCAUCAGUUGGUAUCAGAGCAAGAAUUUGCUUGACUUGAUGUCCAGUCAUGGAGGCGAUGGAAGCGAUCCCAGCGACAUCGCCCGUGGGCAAGACGACAUAUGGGCGGCGAUUGAGGAACAACGAGGUUUCAUGGCGGAGCAGCGACAACAGAUGGCGGAGAUCCGUGAGUUGCUCGUCGACAUGGGACUCAACACCAAUAACAAUCGAUACAAUUUUGGAUUUGGAGCCGGAGGAUUCGCUCGAGGCCCCCAAGGAGGCAUGCAUGAGAGGCGUGAUGAGGAACGUCGAGAUCGUUUCCAACAUCAACCUCAAUAUGAAGAAGAUGACUAGAAGAGAUGGGUGAACGAGGUGUCAAUCGACGAUUCAUGAGGUACGAUGAGUACCGAUUGAAGGCAGACAUCCCAACUUUCAAUGGAAAUAUGCACAUUAAAGACUUUCUCGAUUGGGUCUUUGAAGUCGAGCGGUUCUUCAAGAUGAUGGAGGUUCUUGAGGGCUGGAUGGUGAAGCUGGUGGCCUUCCGACUUAAGAGUAUUGCUAUAGUCUGGUGGGACACUCUGCAGAGGAGCCGACAACGACAGGGGAAGGCGCCAGUUCGCACUUGGAGGAAGAUAAAGCAAUUGUUAAUGGAGAGGUUCUUACCGCCUGACUACGAACAAUGCCUCUUUCAAAUGUACCAGAACUGCACCCAAAGCGGUAGGACGGUUGCUGACUACACUGCCGAGUUUUUUAGGUUGUCCGCACGAAACAACCUCAAUGAAACGGAGCCACAGAAGGUGGUACGAUACUUGAAUGGCUUGAAACCAAAGAUCCGUGAGAAGAUCGGGCUGCAAGUAGUUUGGUCGGUGGAUGAAGCCCAUAACAUGGCGUUGAAGGCUGAACUAAUGGAACAGUUGGGAGGAAAACCUGAGUUCCCAUCUAGGAACCACGCUGAAGGCGACAGUUCCACCAGAAGGGGCAAAGCGCCGCAGUUCAUGGCAUCCCAACAAUCAGAUUCGGGAAGCGCAUGGAACAAAGACAGCGGAAGCGGAGGGGGAUCUGGAGAAAGGCAGCCAGUUGGAACCAGUAGCAGGGAGCCGCUCAAACAUUCAAACUCCUAUGCCAAGGCUGCACCAGUCACGGACGGCUUUCCGAUCGAUAUCCGAAAGCAAAUACUAGUAAUCUAUCUGACACAAGAGGUGUUAAUUAAAUCAAGGAUUUGUUCUACUAGAAAAAGAAAAUUCCUUAGGCCCUUUAAGAGGGGUCCUUGUUCUCUGAGGGGCAGGUGGGUGUUGGGAUUGUUGGAGUUUUGGAAGCCAAUGUCAUCAAUAUACUUACCAUUACUAACCCUUAAGCCAAUAGUCAAGUUUAAGAUCAGUGCAUAAUCUCCAUAACUUUUUUAGAAUCCAAAAUAUCUAGGUUUAAUUAAAAGUGAAUUAUUCUAGAUUUUCUUAGUAAUUUGAUUAGACAAUCUAGAUCGAUUUUCUUUCAAAAGGAUUUACUCCAAAUGCCAAUGAGUUAGAAGACUCUGUGCUAAUAUGACUAUAUGCAAAAUUAACUCUAUUGACCUCUAAUUCUUUAUUCACCAAGAUUAUCAGUAAUGUUAUAUGUGAUAACUCAUGUAAGCACAUCUAUAUAUUCAAUAUGAUAUUUUACCAGUGGCUUUAUCAACAAUAACAAAAGAUUUCUUUUCCACAUAUGAGAAUUCAAUUUACUAGAAUUUUCCAUCAAUAUGCAUACUCUAAAUAUCACUUAAAAUCCAUGUAGUCCUUGUGUACUCAUUAUAUACCAAAGCUCAUAUAUAUAUUUUAUACCACUGAACAAUACACUUUUAUUAAAGCAAUUGCGACUUCAACACAUAAUUCAAAGCACCAAUAACAGCUCUUCGAGCGUGCUGUCUCAUCUCCUUCCUUGCCAAUACAUUGAAUGUUGAUCACGAGCAGUGACACAAGAGCAAGAACUCACAAGAACUCCAUACGAGAACAUGAAGAAAAAACGAAAAAAAUUACAGUUCUGGAUGAGAAUUCAAACACAACAAAUCGAACCAAGGAAGAGAUCGAAAGACUUGGAGUGCUCAAGGGCACUGGAAUCCUUUGGGGGUAUUCUUUCCACAGUAGUUAAGCAGCAGGCUAAGGUGGAUAGGGAGGUUGAGCUUGAUCCCCAGAAUGUUAGCCUUGAGUACAGUGCAGAGGCAGACGGCAGCCUCGAGGUCGACGAGUCCAUCAAGCAAAGAGCAGCAGGGCAGCUUGGGUGGCUUGCCAAGCUUAACGUGGAUCAAGCCAUUCAGCACGUCGGCACAGACGCCUAGCUUAAGUGCAUCCACAGGACACUUGCCACUGCCGGAGCCGGAACCGGAGCCGGAGCCGGAGCCGGAGCCGGAGCCGGAGCCAGAGCCGGAGCCGGAGCCGGAGCCAGAGCCGGAGCCGGAGCCGGAGCCGGAGGGAGGGUAUGGGCUAGGCGUGGGGUGCUUCGGGGUUGGGCUGAUGCAGUUGCUACAUGCACUGGUGAGGGUGAAGAAGAGGAGAUUGAGGGCAAGGAAGAGGGCAGCUGAGGCUGAGGGCUUGGAUGCCAUGGCUUCAAUAAUGCCCACAAUAACACUAGUAUGCAACUGUGGAAGCGGUUUAGUGCUGUAGUGGAUUAGUCGGUAAUUGGUUUCAGUAUUUAUAGAGAAUUAGGAGGGGGGAGAGUUGGUACCUAGGGUUUGAAAUGUUGUAAUGGAGACAAAAAGCUUUACUGGAUGACAGAUGGUGGAUCCAUUUUGCGGUUUAGUUAUAGCUGGCAAUGCAAGUGAUGAAGGUUGGUUUGAGGGGCCCUUGGAGUUUUGGGAGCCAAUGUCAUCGAUGUGAGAUGAUACAAGAGAGGAAGAUGAGAUAAGGAGGAGGAGAAGAGAGACAGCUUUGGAUGCAGACUAGGCCAUUGGAGUUUCUGUUCAAGUAGCUCAAUGGACCAAAGUUGGCGAGAGCCCGGACCACGUUAGUGUCCCUUAUAAGGGAUAAAGAGAAGAACGUGCAUGAAAGGAGUGAAUGCUCUGAAGACGCGAUAGCGAUAUGGGACUUGGCUGGUAUUUCGAAGAUAAUUUGAAAUGCUAGCUAAUUCGAUCUACAUAUGCGCCUAGCUAGGUCUGGGUAAGAUCAAAUUGACAUGAUUGACCUUGAUUUGUUCCGAUUUUUUGUUUCGGUUUUGAUAUUGGAUCCAAAUUCAUAAAAGAUUAGGUUGGAUUGGAUUGCGUCUACGGCCAAAAUUAUUAGACUCAAUGGACCAUCCGGGUUGGGUCUGAUUCAUGAAUUACCCGGUGUUAAUCCAAAAAAUUUGGAACCGGAUCGAAUCCGGGUUAGGUCAGUAAAAUUAACCAUUCACUUAGUUAGUAUUUUGUACCUUUUAUGGCAUACAAGUUCAAUUAGUUGUGCAGAACGAAGAGUAAGUUUAUAGAAAGCUAUGUUUCUGAUUUAAUUUUUUUUUUAAAAAAAGUGAGUUGUUACUGAAAAAAGCAAUGUAAUCAGUCCUUCACUCAAAAUGCAUGGAUGGCAUGGACCUCUUGGUCUGGCUUCACCACAAGCCAAAAUUUAAAUACCAAACCGUAAGCAUCUUAUAAACCGUCCUCUGCAAAUUCUGUUCCCAAGGUGUAAGCAUCCUCUGAAGCAUCCUUCACCCCUAAGACAGCAUAUUGGCUUCUGUCAAAUGCCAUUAAAAAUCCCAGCUUCCUGUAACUCUUGUUUGAACUCUUUCAGCGCCUGCCACUACAGGCGUUUCUUGCCCAUCCUGGGUGGUGUUUCAACAUGAAUGAAAUGCAAACUAUCACUCCUAAUUGCCGUUUGCUGAACCUGUAUAUUUUGCUGGACAAAGUUCAAUGGAGAAAAUGUUGGAGAAUGAUCUGUAGCAAACUAAGACCACCUCUCAAAACCUAUGCACAACUUCUAGAGCUUCAAGAAAGCCAAUUUAAAAGUAGCAGCAGAAACCUGCUAAGAAUUUAGUCAUGCUAAGAACAGUUAAAUGGGUUCUAUGUACCAUAGUUAUUUCUAUGUACCAUGUAGGCUAGCAGAAUUUAAAAUUGAUCAAAAUACUACAAGUAUCAAAUUCUUGUUAGCUAUAAAAUUCUGUAAGUCCUUCUGCAUUCAGGUUGGGGCGGGUCCGAAGAAGACCUGAUAUAGGCCCAAAAAUAUACCAAUCGGAUUGGAUUGGAUCAAAAUUUAAUAAAUUCAGAUUCGACCCAAAAUGUCAAAUGGGUUCAAUUUUGGAACCGAUCUGGUUCUAUGGAUUUUAUAAAAUGAAUUUGAUCGGAUCUAACUGAGUCGGGCGGGGUCAUUGGUCAACCCAACUAUUUGUAGCCCUGUGCCCAACACAGAUAGUGAUACUGAGAAAUGGGCAAGAGUUGGCGUGGUGUGUGCGGAUCCCAUCAAUCUUGGGAAGCCACUUAGAUAAACUCAGGAAGCUGCCACUGGUGUUGGAACAGAGGCAAUUAUCGGAAAUGGGUCCAAAUCUAGCUUCCGUCUUGUGCGAUCCAGAGUGCGACCACGAAGAGAAGCGCCGAGCCUUAGCCGAAACCAAUGCGAAAAGGUAAUAGUAGCUCUGUGAUAUGAUUGUGAAACCACUUGCAAAUCUUACGAAAAAGCAUAAUGACCAAAGAGCCUUUUAGUCGAUAGUCUUAUUUUAGACUCAAAGUAUCUACCUUGUUUAUUCAAUUAGAUAGAAAAUUUGACGAAUGCUUAUAAUUUUGUAAAUCUGUGAUAGGUUAAUGUAUUUAAUUUUGAUUUUUUCACUUGUAUUAUUAAAAAACUUUGUUUACAUUUGGCAUAACAACUGGAGUGCCCUUUUCUCGAGGUUGAACCUAAAAGCUGUGUGCGACCGUGGAGCUGGAAUGAGCGAAGAGCCAACCAGCAAACCCAAAUCUUAUCAGCUUGAUGGUUAUUUCAUUAUAAGUGUACGCGAAGGAUAAAUGUUUACAUAAAAACAAGUAUACUUAGAAUUCAGGAACUCGGGAGACGUGACUGCUACAUAUUGAAGGCAAUCCGCAUGGAUGGGUGGAUGACCGCCUCAUCGUUUUGCCUCGUGCUCUCCAUCUUCGCCUUGGCUGCCGCCGUGAGGAGGGCGGGACGGAGAGAAAUAAAGGGAAGAAGAAAAAAAAAAAAAGAGAGUUUUGGAAAAAAAGAAAUACCUUGAUUAUGCCAAAGUCAAGGCCAAUUAAGAUUUUUGUUUCCUUUGCUGGGACUUUUGAAGAUUUUUAUAAUAUAAAGAAACAUUUUUUGUAAUCAUAAUAUUUUAUCAGAAAUAUUUUCGUUUAAAAAAAAAUUAUAAAUCAAAGUAGCUUUCUGACACAUAUUAAAAGUGCUUUCUAAAAAAAUUUUAUUUUGAAGCUUCUUCCAAAAAACUGUUUUAGCUUUUUGAUAAAGUUAAAACAGUUUUUCAAAUUUUGUACUAAACACUGUUAUUCCAUCCAAAAAUACAUUUGGACCAAAAGCCCUGCCAAACAGGGCUCAAAUCACGAGUAGAGAAAUUAUUGCGCCGCUGGUGCUUGUGGAGUCCAUUUAUGGAGCAUACAUCUCGAUGCAUCAUCAUAGAAAUCAGAAAUAAUAGACCCAAAAGUCUCCCUCAAAAACGAAUUGCCUAAAGACGCCACAUUUAAUGCAUAGAUCCUUUUUAAAUGGCGUUGGCCGAGGUGCCAAUGUGCAAAGAAGCAUAGACAAGCUCCACGUUUGCCGACUGCAUUCUUUAGCGAGUUCUUAAGACGAGCACGGCUCCUUUGUCCUAGCCGCCCGAUGGCCUAGACCACGAAAACUUGGUCCAAUUUGGCCCAAAAUUUCGGUGCCUCAUGUUUUGGUCCCCCCUCCCCUGGGCUCUUUUCUGAAAAUAAACAUAGAUCCGACUUGGACCCGGCUCAGUCCAAAACACUACUCGAAAGUCGAGUCGGGCCAGGGCCUGAAACCCAGGCUUGACUUGGGCUGGACUAUUCUCAGGCCUGAACCGGCCCAUUGACAGCCGUUAGCUGACUCGGACCAAAGGCAAGGCAAAAAGCACAAAAGUUAGUAUGCUUCCUCCGCCAAUCACCGAGAAAAAUGUUUUGUUAAUUAUUAGUGAAUCAGAACUCCCGUGAAACGCAUUGAGUCAAACUAUCCGACACGGUAUAAAAAUACUUUUAUACUACCUUCCUUUGACAUCAUCCAAACUUUUCCAUGUAUUCCAGCUAAACCUAAUCCUUCGUCUUUAACGUCAUAUUUUCCUACUUCCAAUAGAGCAACCUGCACGAAAGAAGCUCUUCUAAUUCUGAGAUACGUAAAUAACUCGUGCAUCAUGACAACAGGUUCCACGUUCUCGCAACUACUAUAGCAAUGAAACCUGCUAUAUAUAUGUAUAUAUAUAAAACGCAUCCUUCUCGUCAUCCCUCAAUCAUUGUACAGAUACCACGUCGUCACGUAAGCAUACUCAAAUAACAAGUACAAACAACAGCUAGACAAUCCUAGGUAGACUCGUGGCAAACUCUUGAACAGAUCCUUUCGUUAUCACCUAUGUCAUGCUCCAACUACCAUAAUACCAAAGAGUAUCACAAAAUCAAACUGGCAAAGAGUUGAACAAACAGCUCAAUGAUCAUAAUUAAACUUAUGACUCGUUUACUUCAACAAUAUUAUCAGAGGCCUCCAUUAUUAUCCGACCAGCUCAGCAUAAAUAGACCAACUUCCUGGCAAUGUAACUACAAACAAUUUGAGACAAUGUAUAUAACAUCUAAUGGAUUACUAUAUAAUCCCCUAACAGGCCAAGGCCAUAUAUAUCAUAUGUGAAGUGGAUAAGGCAGUCAACAGUAGACAUGGCGUUCAUGUGUCUGUUUAGGUUUGGGGACCCUGUAAACGAUAUGAUCUUAUGACGUUGUGGUUUUGGAAUGAAAGAACCAAUGAAUGGGCGAUGACAUACGUCUUUUAUCAGCAUCAAAGACCUUGUAAGAGAGCACGCGUCGAUAAGAAAACUUCGGUUUCACGCGUGAUCGAGCUCUAAAAAAAUACUUCAAUUAUCUUCUGAUGAAAAAAAUAUCCUUCAAUUAUCAUCGUCCACGUAUUACAUUAUUGUCUCGGUCUCCCACUAUCACCCAAUCACAACUCUCUUUUCUCUCUCUCUCUCUCUCUACUCCCCUCCCCCUGUGAUAGCGUAUUUUUUAGUGAACAUCAGGGAGUCUAUCGUUUGACCAUGCUCAAAUGAUUUGAGGAGGCCAGUCCACAUCCAGCUACUUGUCAACUGUUGUCUGGUCGACGUAGUUAUUGGAUUCCUACCAAAAAAAAUAAAAAAGUUAUUAUUGUAGACACCGAAAGGUGGGGAAGCCGAGUUGAAUGGGACUCCAUCUCAAUUAUUUUUGGACUGUGAUGAUAGGGAGUUCGAUGUCUUUGCUAAGGAUGACGAGAUCAAUUCAAGAAGUCAAGAACCAAAUAGUUAGCAAACUUUGAUAAAAGAAACGUAAAGAAUAAUGCGAGGGGGGAGGGUGGUGGGAGGGGGACUGCCAUUCUCUGAAUUGGCCGCCUUUGGGCUACUUUCUUGGGAUAUCUUUGGUCCACUUGGAAAUCCCUUCUUUUACGAUAGCUAUUUAUUUAUUUGCUAAUAUAUUCUAGUUUUAUUUGCAUGCAAGACAAAAUAUGAAUUGUUCCAUUUCUCAUUAAAUUUAGCUAUAUUUUUUAAAAUUCCUAAAAAAUUGAUAAUAAUACGUCAAAUAUUUGACAAGGUCUCGGUAAUAGGAUUAUUAUAUUAAAAGGGAUCAAUACCGAAGUCGCUAAUAAAUUUGUAAGUUGCAAAAAGAUAUAGCAGGUCCUUUAAGGGUGUCAUAAUGGAUAAUAACAGACAAUAGUCCAAAUUAUUUUUCACGUGGAGAAGAUUUUCUUUGGGAGGAAAUUGGCAAAAAAUUGAAUUUUGACAGAAAAUAUUAUUUUAUUAGAAAAUGGCAUUAUUAUAAAUUAAGGAUAAUAGUUAAAUAUUGGCAAUGAUAUAAUUAAAUACUGUAUAAUAUAGAGGUUCCUUUCCAAAACCACUACAAUCGCCAUUAUUUUUAAAACCAUCUUUUGGCUACUGGAAUUUUUUUCUCUCUUGCUGAAAGAGAUUGAAACUUGAAUCAAAAGAAAAGUUUUUAUAAAUAGGAUGGACCAAUAGAACGGCGAAUGUUUUUCUAGAAACAAACAAAAGAAAAGAUUGUGUGAAAAAGAAAGGUUGUGUUAGAGUUGUGGGACACUAUAUUAUGUAUAGAGAGAUAUUUUAGUAAAUAAUUUGAACGAAACCAUAAGAAAAUUCAUAAUAUUUUUACGCAUGUAAACCAUAAAAUCUCAAACCUGAAUGAGAGUGAUUUUCCUUGUUAGCAAAUAAGAAUAAGAUUUGCUUAAUGCAACUUCAGAAAUUUUAUUGAUAAUAAGAUUGCUGAUCUUUACUGCAAUAUUUAGCCAAUGUUUAGUCAAUGUAAUACACCUUACACAAGUUUGCUCCUAGAACUUGUUGCAGUUCAUUUUGGUCAAUGUAUUACACCUUUCACAAGUUUAAUCCAAAAACUUGUUGUAGCUCAUUUGAGAAUAAACUGAAUUGAUACUGUUGGUGGGCUGAUAACUUCCUUAGUAUAUAUAUUAUAUUAGUUAAAAAAAAGAGUUGAACUCACAAGUUUCUAAUUUUUCUACUAAAAUUGUCAGUAGUUUUAAAGUAAAAUAAUUAUUAAGAACAAUUUUAAUGAUACACACACAUAUGCACACAUGGAUGCAAGCAAACAUGUAUGCAUGCUUCACAUGCACAUUAAAUAUAUAAUUACUAAGAAUAACUUUCAAUUCAAUAAAAACUUUUAAAAUUUCAAUGCUAUGUAGCCUCAUCUCUUCUACACUCUAUCUAUCGAAAACCACUUGAAUUGUUGAUGAAUUUAUUUUUUUAAAUUUCUAAAUAUUUAUUUGUGUGUGCCCUCAUAUUGCUACUUUGAAAAAUCUAAUUGCUGAAAGUGAACAAACCGAUAAUCCAAUGGAGCUAUGGGAUUUUAAUCUUUUCGAUAGAGAAAAGAAUUAUUGCAGUGUAAACAAAUUAGGAUGGGAAAAUAACUAGGACAAUCUACAUUCAUUAAUAAAUAGAUAUCUUCAGAUAUCAAGUCUUCAUAUAUCUUCAAUUAGUUUUUUUCUUCGAGAAAUAAAAUGAUAAUCUCCUUUAGGUUCGAGAUUGGAACCUCACCUCAGUAAGUAUAUGCUUUAAAGAGGGUUCCAACCAAUUACGAAAUGAUCAAGUCCACUUAAGAGACGUAAUUAAAUUUCUUCUUUGAUAAAAUGGAUUGUUUUUAACAAGAGGUUCUUCUCAGCAGCCUUCAACUCAGUCACUUAGCAGAUCCAACUCAAGAAACUCAACCUACCUCUUGGGAUGCAUGGUCAACUCAAUUGAGAUCCAUAAAAUACCUACUUUCUCUCUCUCGUUGGAACAAGGCCUACGUAGGAUCUAUGCCUAAUUGGGAGCCAUAACUUGUGAAAAUUACUACAAUGAACAGGACCGACAAACUCGAGGCCACUUGGAACUGCAACGUGGCAGUAUUCUCAGGUUCAUUCCCCCUACAUAAUUUCCUUUGUUCCAUCCUCAAGUCCAGAUCUUUAAUAGCUUGUCUCUCUCAAAUGUCUCAUUUUCCAGCAUGAUCCAUAUGCCCCGUUGCCAAUCCGAAAACUCUUGCUGCUAGGCUGUCGUGCUAUCAUGCUGGUCGCAUACGAUUCGAUUAGAUACGUUUCCCUCUGCAAUGUAUCAUCCAGUGGUAUCUUGGUUAGGGUUCGGGAUGUAUCAUUCGGACGAGAACCCUUUUGAUUAUAUCCAAAUUAAGAGUGGUUCCGAAUGGGAGCGUGCUGCUCUCUUAUUAGCACGACCAGACCUAUCAUUCCGAGCCCUGAGAUUUGGCGCCUGGGGACAGCCAGGAAGAAGAGACCAGUGCCCGUGAAAGGAGUGAACUGUCUCUCAACCUUGUUCUUUCCAUCUAUCUCGGGUUACAGAAUCUCAAGCUGAUAAUCGAAUAUUGGAUAUGGUCGGUUCUUUUAAUAUGUUCAAAUUCUUACAUUCUUCUUUUACAUUCAGUACCCCUCCUCGUAAGCUUCAGCUACAAUACUAAACCUAAUUCAAAACUCGGCCUCAAAAACCUCAGCAGACUCCAGUAUUCAGAUUUGAGACGGAGACAAGGCACUGACAUCCACUCAGCUUUGGGUCUCUUCAAAGAGAUGCUUCGUUUUCUCCAAGACACUUUGAAAUUAAGAUGUCCUUAAGAAUGCUUCCAAAGCUACAGCCCGAGAUUUGUUCAAGUUAGGCUUCACAGUGUUUGCAGCAGCCUAUGAGAGGGCUUGCUGCCAUUGGGAGUUGGUACGCGUCCAUGAUCUUGUUCACGGGGUUCAACAAAAGACAAAAUAUAAGUCAUCCUGCAUCGAUCGUUCAACUAAUUAUAUGUGACCCUGUUGUUUCUACCGGGAAGUUGGGGUAAAUAAAAGGAGAAUGAUUUGGACCAUUAACCAUUGCUUAGUCGUAGGGACCAAGAAUAUUAAAAGAAAAGAACAUAAGGAACUGUGUUAGCAUAUUAUUUUAUCUUAUUUUUUUCCUCUUCGUGGUGGGAACAAUGUAUUGUGACAAUUUAUAAUUGUGUUACGUAACCCGCCUCUCCAGUUCUUCCCCAUCGCUUCCUCCGUAAUUAAAAGAAAACCGAGUUUUUUGUUUUAGAAAGACACAUCACACGUCUAUGGUUGUUUAGCGUUAUCUUUCAUCGUGUCAAAUCUUGAUAAAAGAAGAAUCUCAUGUUUACAAAAUAUCAGAAAUGCACAUCCUAUGUACAACUUGAAAUAUAGAAAGAAAUAGGGAUCUGUUGCAGAGAUAAGGGCACAACCAUAUAAAAUUUAAAAUAAAGGGGUCACCAAAAGAAUGGAAAGAAAAGAAAAUAAUAGUUAACACCAAUGUUAGAUGGGGGAGGGAUGGGGUGGGGUGUAACAUGUUAGUUAUAAUAGUUUAGCUGCUUUUGAUGGCUGAGUACAAUCUACAAUCUGAAUAACUUCACCGAGAAUGUGAACAAUCUUGUGUUUCAUGGGCACGGUAUGACAAAAUAAAUUGCCAUCACAUGGAGUUGCUACUUUGGCCAGAUGGAUUUCCCAAGUUCCACCUAUUUGGUGAUGCCAUGGUUUUUUUUCCAAGCCAGGAUUACUUCCAAAAUUUUGAAGGUGAACUUUACAAAGUUUAUGCGGGUGCAAUAACAUUCCGAGUUGGUCUUGGGUCAUAUUUCUAUGAUGACCACCAAGGUAUGUGUAAGGUAUUACACGUUGUUAAAGUUGAACUGUAAGAACCCAUAUGUCUUUUAAAAGAGUUGGGCUUGGGCAAACCACUAAGCCGUAUCACGUGCUUGGCACGUGUAGCAGGGAGAAAGACUCCUAUUGACUAGGUCGCAUCACGUUCUUGGUACGUGUGGCAAGAAGGAAGACUCCUAUCGACUAGGCCGUAUCACGUGCUUGGGAUGUGUGGCAGGGAGGAAGACUUCUAUCACUUCCCUGCUUCUGACGAACAUUGAAAACCCUAGGGCCACCAGAAUCGAGCGAAGCCCUAGGGCUCUUCUAUAAAAGAAUAUCAUCAUUUUCUUUUUAGACAUCCGACAUUCGAAGCCAUCCUCCAUUCUGGCCGAUUUUGAGAGGUUUUUUCAGAUUUUAUGUAGAGGAUCUCUAGGGGAUCUCGCUGUCGAUUCGGCCAUUAGAGCUCGCUGGAGGUAAGGUAUGGUUAUCAAUCCUUCUUUUCUAUCUUUUUCGGCCUUUGGGCCACCGUUUCCACUUUGAAUUCGGCCGGCGAGUUGCCAGAUUGAUGCAAGUCAGGAUCUUCCUUGUUUUAUGCUGGUUUUCUUGCUUUGGCCGGUCACUGCCGGGUGUGGCUUGUCGUUGUAGGCUUGCUGCUGGACGCCACCAAGGGACGCUGUUCACCGGCAACUUUCAUCGCUUGAGGCAACCUUCCUCUGUUCAGAAAGAAGGGAGAGAGAGCCUCAUAGUUCUCUCUUCUUCUUCUCUUAUUCUCUCUCUCCUCUCUCUUCUUUUUUUCUCUUUUCUCUCUCUAUCUUGGUGUUUUUCUCUCUUGUUGAUUUAGAGAAAUUUUGGGUAGAAGGGACUCUGUGGGCAGUCCUAGGUUGCUACAUGGCAGUGGAUCUCUUACUAGACUGGUAGAGGGUUUUUGCUUGUCGGUCAUCGCGGAUGAUUUUAAUGUUACAUUGGUUCUGUAAAAGAAUAAUCUUCUAGACAAGAGGAUGUCGAGUAAGGUUCUGCACACCUUGGUUCAUAGAUCGUGGUAUGGACAGAUGACUAGCUUGUCUGGUUUCUCAGUAUAGAGGUAAGAAUCUUUAUACACCCGCUUACAUAAUUAUAGAUAUUCUGUACACAUGUAUGAUAUGCUAAUGAUUAAGAUAAGUAAGAUGCAAGAAUUCUUUUAUGAUGGUUUUUGUAUUAAAUUAUAUUUUAAUCAUGUAUACUUGUAAUUGAUAGUAUAAUGGAUGCAUAUAUGAAUAUAACUUAUAUUUGUAUAAUUAGACUAAUGGAUGUGGUGCUCUGCACCAACCAUGUUAUAUAGAUUGUCCCAUCAUAGGCUGAAAAUGUGAUACUUAUCAAUUGUCCCGUCACGAAUGAAAAACGUGACCAUGGUUAGUCUUAAGUUGAAAUAAAAAGAAUUGAUGUGUGGAUGUAAAUUUGAUUGAAUGAAUAAGAACUAUGGGCUGAUUUCGUUCUCAUCAAUUGCCCCGUCACAGGUUGAAAAUGUGGCACUAUCGAUUGCUUCAUCAUGAAAAAAAACAUGACACUUAUUGAUUGCCCCAUUACGGGUGAAAAACGUGAUUGAAAUUUGCCCAAAUUUGAAAAGAUAAUUGAUAUUGGAUCCAGAUCUGCUUGAAAAUACUAUUGAAGAUUUAUGAGAUAUCAUAUGAUAUAUCACUCUUGAGUGGUUGAAUUUUUAUUGAUAUUUGUUGUACAUAUGUAUAUUAUUUAUUCGAGCAUUGUUGAUAGUCGGUUUGUGAUUUCAUGAUGUGUGUGACGAUUACUUGCUAUUUUUAAACUUAUAUCAUUAUGUUGGUGUGGAUGUGUGGAAAUUCUUAUUGGAUUGUAAAACUCACACACCUCUUUUCUUUUUCUUUCAGAGUUGCAGGUCGCUUAGUAUUUGGCUAUUGUUGAAAUUACGAGUGAAAAGAUGAAUAGAUAGAUCAUCACUGAUAUUGGUUGGAUGAUUAAAUUUUAUAAUUAUACUAGUUUUGUUAUUCAUUAUGAAUUGAGAUCAUUAUUAUUUAGUAAUAUUGAGGUUGUAAUAAAAUUUUAGACUUUGCAUAUUCUCUGGGACAUCGUGCUAGCAGUCCAAGCUAAAGCUUUGAGGCAGGCAAUCACUUUGAGAACAAGCCAUUGUGUUUGUGAACUAUAAAUAAAUAUAUAUCACAAAGCAGCAAAUGAUUGUCACGAUCAAAGCAUUUAUUUAUAUGAUUGGAUUCUUUCCUGCAUACAAUCGCAAAAUGCUGAACAAAACCUAACCUCGAUGGUUAUAGAUUCAGAGCAUUUUCUUUUUAGCAGAUGCCCAGAGUUUGAACCCUCAUGGUGGGAAACCCUAAUAUUUUUUAAUAGAAGGAGAAAAGGCCCGAGGAUAUGUGUCGCAUUUGUGGCCCUAGGCCUAACUCAUGUUAGACCAUAAUUCUGCCUCCACUCAUGGAUUUGAAAAUUUUAUCAUAAGCCUUAUGUUAAUCCAGUUCUGCCACCUCCUGCACUGGGAAAAAAAAAAAGAAGGAAAAAGAAAAAAAAGAAAGAAAAACUGCAUACAUGGCAUAAGUUGCAAAAUAUUGAUAACCAGUUCCAUCCACGUCACAGGUACUGCAACCUGAAUGAUUAACAAAGCAUAGCUUAGGAAGAUGAUAACUACGAGGGAAAUUGAAAUAUAUUUGAGAUAGUACAAUGCUAUAUUUUGUUGUCUUGGCAGUGGAGUGGGCCGGUUAAUAUUAACUCAAGCAUACAAUAUCGAUACCUUGUCUUUCAUUGUCACUUAUAUAAGCUGAUUUGAUGUUAGUAAAGGUUAUUAUGGAAAACUAGAUCCUCCAGAGAUCUGGUUUACAUAAGCUAACAGAAGAGAUAAAAGAUCAAAAACUUUUGUUUUUCCCAAGAAAAAUGCUUUGUACCCUGCAAUGCAUCCGGAUCCAGCUUCUAGUGAGCCGCUAGAAGUAAAAUGGGCAAUAAAACCAUUACCUCUUGCAUGGCGCAUAAAACUCGGGUUGACACUUAACUGGGGUACACUACGGAGUAUACGUAGCACCACUAUUUUCAUGACUCCAAUAUCUAACAAAAAAAUAUGUUCUAUAAAUUAUUAAAAUUAUGUUAUUUGUUUUAAGGUGCAAAUUAGGUAUGCUAUCAAGGUCUUUCGGAAUGCUUAGCCAUCAGCCCUUUUGCCUUUUUUUUUGGUAAAUAGUAUCAAGAAGAAAAGCACCUAUACCUAACCAAAUUAAGUGAAUACACAAAAUUAUAGUCAUUUUAUUUUUAUCUUUUCAUACAUAAUCAAAAAAUAGAAAAGAUUUUUUUAUGAGUGAUCCAAGAAGUGCAUGAUAGAUACAUUUGCCCCUCCAAAAGCUUCCCCAAACGGGCUCUAGUGUUGCUGGGCUGAAAGGAACUCAACAAUAUUCUUUAGCAAAAACUCCACAGCAGUUUAAAGGUUGGUCUAUUCUUUGUAAUUAAUGACAGGGAAUUUUUUGGUUUUUCCAAAUUGGCCGGCGAACUUCUCAAGAGGUGAUCCUGGUUCCAACUUCCUACCUAGUUUCAGAUUUUGUCAUCACACUUGGCUCUAAUCCUGAAACUUGCUCUACAUAUUCCUCCCUCACCUUAACGCUUCUCGUUCCAUCUUGUAAUCCAUACUCACAUGUAACUCUUACUCAUUUGUAAUUAUUUAUUCCUCCAAUAAAGUUCUGUGUGGCUCUCAGCCUCCCUCGCAAUUAAAGAAAAAAAAGGAAGAACAAUAGGCAACAAUGGACGGACAAUUAAUAUAUAGUAGCUAAUUAUAAAAGUAACAAAAAUGAACAUAUUUAUACAAUAUUAAUGAUCGAUAAACAAUUCAAGUUAAUGGUGAUUAAUACCAAUCAUGUUUAUCACCUAGAAAGAAAAAACAAAUCAUGUUGCCAGUUUAUUUGAACCUUGAUUUCACAUAUUCAAAGCCUUAGAAAGCCUUUUAGAUUUCGAACAUUUCAGUGAUUACAGAAUCAGUUGACAUGAGAAAAGUAUGAUUUAUUAUCCAAUACCUUUUUCAGAAAAAUCCAAUGUAUAAGUUUUUCUUAAUAAAGGAAAAGAAAAACAAAAUAAAGACAUAAAAAGAAAAGGGAGUUAACAAGAAAAAAAAUUACAAAAAACACAAAACUGGAUUCCUUGCUCCUCGAGACCGUCAAUCAAAUAUUCGAUAGUUUUGAAUUUAAGGAUAGAAUUAAUGUUACCAGAAAAUAAAAGUUUCAACUAAAAGAUACCUUGAGUGGGAAAAUAAUCUAUGCCGGGUAGUGUCAUAGUGAUGUUAUUUAACUAGUUUUUCAUCUUCUCCAAUUACUCAACCUAAUACAGAAUUCUCAAUAGAUGUCUUGUGGUUUUUGAUCCAUCUUUAGAUUCUAGAUUAUUUCAGAAUGUUUGACGACAGGAUAUAUAACAAACUUGGUAUAAGUUUUGGAGCCAUAAUGAAGGAACAUUAAUACUUACAUUGGUACGUGGCCUUCGGAUUGUGAUGCGUAUGGGUCCAUCCUGGCUGUACAAAAAAAAAAAUCAAGAAAGUUGUUAAGAAGCAUCCUAAAAAUAAAUGCUUAAUAUGUAGAAUAUUUUUUGUAUUUUUUCAUUCAAACGGUAAUACUUGAGCAAGGUAUAAUCUUAACCAUUAUAUAUAUAUAAUACUCAAAAGGCAACUCACAUGGAUUAAAUCCCAGAUUUUUUUUCUUUUUUCUAUCUUUUUUUUGGUUUUUGUGGGUGCAGAGGGAGAAAUUAUAACCUAUACCAUGUGCACCAUGACACCCGUGCACUACAGGACUAACAAGCUGAGAUGAAUUACAUGGAGCUGACAAAAAUAAAAAAUUUGAUUGGCUUGAUGCACGUUGUAAGGCCCAAUAGUCCUACAUCGGAAAGACUCGUUCCAGAGCCUGGGCAUAUGAGACGAGUGUCUCCAAAUCCUGCAGACGUAUUUUGGGAGAAAAACAAAACCGAGAAGGGAUGAAGGACGCUUGCUUGAAGCUCCGGAACCGGACAAUAUCUGGCAGGAGAGCUCCGUAUUUCCUUCCUGAUGUGGCCCCCACGUGGGCACCGGGUGCCUCACAUGCCCCACGCAGGCGAGGGCAUGACACACGUAGUAUAUAGUCUAAUUUCUUGUGCAGAGAAGAUUGCCUCGCUUCUCCACCCAUAGCUCCUUUUUUUUUUUGAAUGAAGAUUAUCUAGAUGUUAGAAUUUGUUGGAGGCUACUAUGUAGAGAGAGCAUCUUGAUUUGGUUUGGUUUUGAUGUUCGUUGUAUCAAUUGUUUUCUAUUAUUGUAUUAGUAGGGGUUUACCAAAAAUCAAUUUUUCUCAACUACAAAAUUGUCCAUCUCCAUCAUGUAGUUCCUAGGGUUCAAGCAUGCAUGUAGUUUCAUUAAAAUAUUUAAUUCCUUCAGUAACCGGUAACAUGUAAUUUCAUUUAAAUAUUUUUUUCAUUAUCUGGUUGGUGGGUGAACGGGACAUCAUGAUGCACGGUGCCAGGGAUACACCCUCCACCCUAACAUUUAGAGUCACUCAGAGUUUCAAAAUGACAUUGAUACAAGGGGCUUAGGCAGCAUAAAGUUCGGGAAUCAAAAUAUAUAAAAAACUUAGAAUAAAUCUUAUACCUGCCAAAUAGUUUUUUAAGAAAUAGGCAAAUAAGGAAUAAUUAUUCACUAAACUUGCCUAUUGGACGUAAAGUAGCUUAAAGUUAUUCCUAUAACCAAAAAAAAAAAGGAAUAACUUUUAGAAUAAACAUUCUAGAAAGUAUAACUAUUCUUAUUCCACGAAUAAGUGGUCCCAUAGUUUGAUAAUUUUUCCUUCAUGAUGUAAUGUAUUAUUUACCUGGUCAUCACCAAUGGAGCAGACACGAUCUUUUGGCAGAUUGUAAGGAUGUAAUCCAGUAGUGUCUCUGAACUUCUGAAUCCUUAUCAAUGGAGCGUGUGGAGCCCAACCUAUUGAUGAUUUUAUCCCAUUGCAUAUAUUUUGUUGUUCUUUUUGUUGAUGCUUGGAGCCAAAGAUCCACAUCAAUAACUUGGCUAUCGCUCAGACGUCGCCAACUCUUGAUGUAUGGACCAAUAUUACACCACCUCAAAUUAGAAGUUUGGUUUUAUUUCUCCAAACUUUUUUUUUUCCUUUCAAAAAUAUUCCCCAAGACAUUCCCAUAUUAAGUUUAACUUUGGCUAUCGUUAUCAGAAUGCUGUGGUCAUACGAUAUACCCACCUAUGAGUCGGUCGGCUGGCACCACUUCCUUCCUCUCAGGUAACCUGUCGCGUUCUAAACAUCGUAUCCUUCCAAAACACUGGCUUUCUAAGCACAAAUCUACGCGUUGAACGGGUCAAUAAUUGCCGACUUCCAAGUUAGCACAAUCCUCUCUUUAAAGUCAUGUGAGAAUCCGUGUAAGCAUGUAUUUAAUAUCACAUCAAUUAUUUAUUGAGAGGAUCUUGAAUAUUUAUACAAAAUUGGACUGAUUAAGAAAUCCAAAAAGUAUUUUUCGGUUCGCUUAUUUGGGGAAGGCCCUGAAUUGAUACAAAUGGUAUAAAAAAUGAAUUCGGCAUAUAGCUUAUGUAAAUUAGGAAGGCUAUUUUAAUAUAGCUUCCAUUAAUUCUACAUCUUUUGGGCAUUCGUGUCACGUUUGGUGUUGUCGCCAAUUAGAUCAGGUGGGGCUUGUCAUUGACACGUAAAUAGCUCAUUACUUCAAGGAACUCUAAAAGCUGACUUUUGCUUGCAUGAUCUUCUAUAGGAGUGCACCAUGCGACUUUAUAGGCAUACCAACCAACAACUGAUGCUGGGAACGAGUUCAUUAAUUGCGUUCUUAUGGGGAUUGCCCUAAGUUGCACGGCUUAACCAUAGAAAGUGCACUUUUUUGUGGUUGAAAAAUUCCAAUGAAGAAAAAAAAAACAAGCUACUUCUUGAGUUUUAUACAUCAAUAAAAUAGAAAUGAUAGAAAGUGCAUCAAUCAUUGAAUACAUAAAUAUCUAAUUGGAAGAUUGCGUGAGCGAAAUCCAAGUGCACAUUCACUGGCUCUACUUUUAGUGACCCCAUUCAUGUGAUCUCCACGCUCUCAACUUAUAUAUCAUGCAGAACUAUGGAGCAUAUGAAAUCUCUCUUUUACAUGCUAGUCUAAUUAUAGAUAUACUGCAUGAUGACUUCUCCACUUUUGAGUUAAUGCACUGCCUCCAUUUCGUAGAUGGUGUCUCGAUCUGUUGCCAUUUGCAUCGUGUAUCUUUUGCAAGUUCAAAAGAGAAUAUUUACCUUUUCCUCUUACUAAUUUUCUUUCUAAGGUGGAACCUGCCAUCUCUAAUUUGAUCGAACCUUUUGUUAUUAUUAAAAUGUCACUACCAUAUAUGCCAAAAUAAUUGAAGAUAUUUUAGAAAUAACGACAUUGAAAAUAACAAUCUUAUGAUUGACAUGCUUGUUUUUAACCUGAUUUAACUAGGGCUGCAAAUGGGUCGAGUUGGGUCGGAUCUUGAGUGACCUCGAUCCGACCCGGUUUCUUGUUCAAGUUCUAAUUUUGGAUCCGAAUUCGACCCAAUUGAAAAUCGGGUUGGGUCCGGUCGACCUGACCCAUUUGUAGCUCUGGAUUUAUCUUGACAUAAUUUUCUUUUACUUUUCUAGUGAUAAUAAAUGCGAGUGUUCCUAUUGAAUGUAGCAUUUGAUGUACCCAUCUGACUUUUUUAAAUCAAUUAUGACUAAUAGAUGUAGCUUGUUUUAUGAGGCCUUCCACAUUCUAAAGCCACUAAUGUUUGUUCAACAUUUUAAAUAUUAUUAGUCAUGAUUUAUUUAUUAAACCAAUUGAUAGCUAUCCAAUCUAGUCUCAUAAACUAGAUCAACUAAGCUGGUUUUGGUGUUAAUACGUAGCAAGUUAAAAGAAACCAAAUGUAAAAGCAUGUUAAAUGAGUAUUGGCUUGGACAACCAACCAUAGUUUUUCUAUUAUUCAUAAAUGUUUAUUUUUCACAUAUAAAAGAACCAUUAUAAUUUUCUAACUACAAAUUUAAAAUACAAUUCUAUCAGGCUAUAAAAUUAAUAAUUUUCUAUAUAUUGCAGAGUUAACAUUUAUAUUUAUGCAUUGCAUUCUUUUUCCUUUUUAUUUCCUCUGUGAUUCCUAUUACACAUUAGUUCACAUCAUGCCAUGAAUCAUUGUUCUUUUCAUUCCGCAUAUUAGGGAUAUUGUUAAGGCAAUAAAUGUUGCUUUUGCAUCCUAGAUGAUAGUGAAACUUAGAUGCAUGCAUUCCAAUCCAGUGCCUUGCAUAAAAGGACUUUUCAAUUUUGCAAAAGGUACCCAUUCCUAGCAUAAAGGGCAUCAUGCAUACAGGAGAUGCUCCUUAUGCAUUAGAAAAUUAUGGUUUGCUUUUAUAAGUUGAGAAUACAUCUUUAAUCAUUUUUUUCACUAUAAUGCUUAUAUUUUUGAGUAAUAUUUAAUUAUUUUUUAGUUUCUUUUUUAUGAUAUAAUGGCCUACAAAUAACGAGCUACAUAAUGAGAGAUAUAUAGCCCUCUCCUAAAUGUCUUUAACUUCCCAAUCCCAGUAAAUAUGGUUUUCAAUUUCAGAUUGCUUAGUGCAAGUGUUAAAAACUUUACCAACUUGUUAAGCUGGUGCAAGUUGGGCUAUUGGAUGGUUUAGCCUGCCCAUUUGCCUAGCUCUUGUAUCUAAAAAUUAUAGUCUUAAAAAAUCUACAAACUAUUAUUUUUUAAAAAUAUAUAUAUGAAUAAGGCAAGUUAAAGUAGAAAUUCUAUCUUAAGAAUCCAUAAAAUUCUCUUUGAAUAAUGACACACCAGCAAUAUGUUUAAUAACUUUGAAAAUAACGUAGAGAUUCUUAAGGCAAUCAUUUGCCAGUUCCAUCAUGAAGGACCAUCUCGCAUUUAUGACUAACAUUUGUGAGGUGAUUACAGUUGCGUACCAGUUAAUGGAAAGAAAAGUAUUCACAAAUAUGCCUGUUGUAUUUGGUAUAAGUUUGAUUUUUUUUCCUCCACGUACAUAUGAAAAAUAUGCUUAAUAUAAUAUUGUAAGAUGCAGUUUGAGUAGUCUUUAUGUUCAAUUAUUGGUGAGCUGAUAAGUAUUGUUAGCCUAACUAAGGAUUUAAAUAUUGCAGGAUAGUGUGUAUUCUCGAUGUAAUAGGAUGCCUUGCCAUCCCAUGGCUCCGUCCCAUGGAACACUUUUUUAAAUGCACUCCAACUCUCUUUUUUUUUUCACUUUGUUCUUUCCUUUGAUUCUUUUUAUUUUUUAUUUUUUUCUUCUUUUAUUUAUUUCUUACUUCUUUCUUUUCUUUUUGUUUAUUUUUCUUAUUCUUUUCUUCUAUUAUUNNNNNNNNNNNNNNNNNNNNNNNNNNNNNNNNNNNNNNNNNNNNNNNNNNNNNNNNNNNNNNNNNNNNNNNNNNNNNNNNNNUUUCUUUUUUCCUUUUCUCCUUCUUUCGAUGCAUGAGUAGGUUCAAAGUCCUAUCUUGUCUCGAUCCUCUUUAUUUAUAGAAAGGAGACAGGACAGCCAGCCCAUCGUAUUGGGAUUUAAAAUCUUGAGCCUACAAUUGGGUGCAAGGGCCUCUAUUCUUACUCCAAGAAAUUUACAUUACAAUUACCAUUCAAAUUACAAUGCAAUAACCUAGAGUUGUUGCAUUAACACAUGUCAUAUAUUCACAUAGCUUAUAGCGAUAAGGUUAAUGGUUACAUAAUUAAUUUCAAAGCAAAAAGGCUCUUUUUUCUCACUAGAUAUUCAAGUCAUCAAAGGGUAUGGUCCACCACUGCAGGGUCUUUAACUUGGUCCAGAGUUUAUAGUUUAUGGGUAACAUUCAAUAAUCUUCUUUAUCGUAUCCUUUAUGUGUAGAUUUUUUAAGUGCUUAAAACUUCCCCUAUCUUCUAUUGUUGUCUUCACUGAGAUGCUCCUAUAGAGGUUCUUUUUUUUUCCUGUCCAGAAAACAAAGUAACACACUCUGAACCUAGCCUUUAUGCCUUCGUGAAGGCAGUAAUGAUAAGUGAAAAAUAUGUCGAUCAAGUAAGUCAAGUGAAAAAUCUAUUAUGGCGAUCAAGUAAAUCAAGUGAAAAAUUUUAGCCUACCAGCCGGCUAGGAUAUGCGUAGAAAAUUCUUUAAGAGUUGAAUUAAUCAUCAAUGCUGCACACGUACUAAGAGGGUAUUUGAUGACCUAAAUAGGAUCACUAUAGUGAUCUAAGAUCAUUGGUGAUCCUCAUUCCAAGAUAAUUUGACUUUCGAUGAUCUAAAAUUAUCGUAUUUGGUAUGCUAUAUUUUAGUAAUUAAAGAUCCUUAGAUAUUCAUAGCUAACCUAUUUGAUAUGCCACAUGAAUUCAAAACCACUGGCCAUAUAGUACGAAAAAUACCUUUGACAUAUUCCACAAUUUAUAUUUUAUAGCCUCGUGAUUUUUAACUCAAAAGUUGGCCACAAUCCAAGCAUGUGUUUGGUUUUUCGAUCUUAAGACAUGAUAAAGAACAAGGGUUGGAAAUAUUUAUGCCUUAAUUCCAACCAUUAUUGCUUGCUAAGUCUUGUGUAUGCAUGUAAUUGGCAUGUCUCUUAUGUUUAUUGUGCGGUAAGUUGGGUAUUGGAUUGAGGGGCAUUUUUGUCCGCCACUUUCAAUCCAAUAUCAUUGUCCUAGGAUGAUCUUGAAAAUCCGUCACCAAAGACAGGUUAAAUAUAAUUAGAUUGAGGUGCAACUAAAUACGUUGAUCUCAUCAUAUCCACCCAUGUUACUCUCGAUCUUGAGGUCAUUACCUCAUUCCAAAUGCUCCUAAAUAUAUAUUUAAUGUUGAGAUUUACUUUCCUCGGAUAUAACCUCGUAUUGAAGCAUAUAAUAUGGCUUCAGAAUAGAAAAAUUAGAUAGGUAACCUAAUAUCCGCAUAUGAAUUAUCCUUGGAGAUGUCGAGAAGAUAAAUGUUUAGCUCAGCCAGAGGGAGCCGGAUUGGGGUGGCGAGCCGUGAUCAAUUUGGACUCGCCCGAGCUACAUACAGGGGCGUGGCCGACAUCGAAGAACCCCUCCCACGGGCAAUUUGGCGACGUGCACAAAAACCCAAACGAGUCACAGACCUCACGCGUACUUCAAAAGACCAAACUAUCCUUCCCACCUGCUAUAAAAACCCCAUCUCGCCCAGUUCAUCCCGCGCCACCGGGAUCUCCCUCCCCUGCAUAUCCCUCUCUUAGCCGACUCCUCACCCUUCCUUCUUCUCCCACCAACUCUUUACUGCUACCAAUUAUACUUCAGUGGUAGUUGUGCUAAAGAGACCCCAAGAAGAAAAAGGAAAUCAGAUGGCCGGCUUGCCAGCGACCAACGCCGAGGGCGAAACCCUCUCGGACGCUUGGGAUUGCAAGGGCCGCCCCGCCGUCCGAUCCCAGACCGGAGGUUGGACCAGCGCCGCCAUGAUCCUAGGUCCGGCCCGUCGCCCUUCCCCUCUUUAUCUUCUCCUCCCUUUUUUUUCCCCACUCUGUUUCUUUAGUAGUUAAAAUAUCAAAUGAUACAAUAAAAAAGGGGUGGAGCUGUGCGAGAGGCUGACGACGCUGGGCAUAGCCGUAAACCUGGUGACCUACUUGACCGGUACCAUGCACCUCGGCAAUGCCGCCUCCGCCAACACUGUCACCAACUUCUUCGGCACCUCCUUCAUGCUCUGCCUCCUCGGCGGCUUCCUCGCCGACUCCUACCUCGGCCGGUAAACACGCCCCCUUCCAAUCCACCCCUCCUCCGUGCCAGUCUCUGCUUCUCCUGCUGAUUUGUUUGUGAUGUUAAUUGUUCGCUCUGAUAAUAUAACCAGGUACCUCACCAUCGCCACCUUCACCGCAGUCCAAGCUUUGGUAAACGCUUUCUCUUUGCCAGAACGAUCAUAUCUUGUUUCGUUUCAAACUGUAAAAUGAAAUAUAAGAAUACAAUUCUGAAUUAAUUAACUGAAGGGGGUUACCAUUCUGACGAUAUCGACGGUGGCUCCGGGGCUGAGGCCGCCGGCCUGCGCGGACCCGUCGGCCGGCGGGUGCGUGCGGGCGAGCAGGGGCCAGCUCGGGGUGCUCUACCUGGCUCUGAAUCUGACGGCGUUGGGGACGGGAGGGCUGAAGUCGAGCGUGUCCGGGUUCGGAUCGGACCAGUUCGACGAGUCGGACCGGGGCGAGAGGCAGCAGAUGAUGCGCUUCUUCAGCUGGUUCUUCUUCUUCAUCAGCCUCGGCUCGCUGCUGGCCGUGACGGUCCUGGUGUACAUCCAGGACAACGUCGGCCGGCAGUGGGGCUACGGCAUCUGCGCCGCCGCCAUCGUGUCGGGGCUGGCGGUCUUCAUCGCCGGCUCCACCCGGUACCGUUUCAAGAAGCUGGUGGGGAGCCCCCUGACCCAGAUCGCCGCCGUGGCGGUGGCGGCCUGGAGGAAGAGGGACCUGAAGUUGCCCUCUGAUCUCUCGCUUCUCUAUGACGUGGGCGCUGCAGACAAAGGCGAGGAGGGAGGGAAGACGAGCGAGGGGAAGCAGAAGUUGCCCCACAGCAAGCAGUUCCGGUAAUUAAUUAACUCUUUCGCUUUAUCUUGUUAGUUGGUAGCCGUUUACGUUCGAGGGUCAGUUGCUCGCUAUUUGCUCGGUCUCGUUGGAAGUUUCCGCCGGCUAUGCUAUGGCUUUCUUUGCCUCGAUAUGUGUGUUGCUGUUCUUCGUUUUGGUCCUUCAAGGGAGAAGUUAUUGGUCGGACCAGGUUCACCAGCUCAGCAGUAGGCCAGUCCGACUAUAAAUCAAAAAAGAAAAAAAUCACAAGGUCCACUGCUAAGCUGGAGGAUACAUUCCAACCAAUAAUUUCAUGUGGAGACAGAUGGCCAGCGGAAACUGAUGCAUCCCUGGCCGUAGGAAAUCGAUAACCUAACCCAAGAAAAUUAAUGGAUAGAAACUAGGUGAAAUUCUCUUUCUGAUAUGAAUGGAGCUCCCUUUCUGAAUUUUAUGUGGACGAAGUUUUUUUUAAAAAAAAUCAUGCAACGUAUGGUGCUCAAAUCUCAGUGCAUGCACUCCUGAAUGGCAAUUGGGUGUCUGUGCACCAAACACUUGUCCAUUUUUUAUUUUUAUUUUUUUAUUUUUUUUCGUAUUCUUACUGCUGUUUUUGUGGCUAGCUCAUGCUUAUCUAUCAAUUAGAAGUCCCGGUUAGUUCACAUGCAUGAUGCCGAUGUUUGAACAUUGGGCAGCCGAGGCUGUGUUGCCUUUGAUGGAUACCACCACAUAAUGAACCAAGAAUUUUCAUGGAUAGGGAACAUAGAACCUGCAUGAAAAAACAAGGUGGGACCAUAUAUUUCUAUGAUUUCCGCCUUGAUAAAAUCUUUUAGAGACGCCUGGUGGAUCCUGUGCCAUCAAACUAGAACUCUCGUCGCAUAUGAGGAGAAUGUCAUGUCUUGUGUGCAAGACGAUUGCUAGGCCGCUCACUCUAUAUUUCAGUCAAAGAAUCUAAAAGGAUCCUCAAUAAUUGAGCUUGAACGGUGCUGUCGACUAACUUGCUAGUUGCGACGAGCAAAUUAUGUAUCGAUGCAAGACCUUCUUGAGGUAUGAAUACAUGUGAUGGGCCAAUUUGUUAAUCUAUUGGUCCACAAUUGUAUGGUAGACAAAUUAAGAAGCUAUGCCCCAUAGUGCUCCCAAAAGGACUGGCGCUGCAAUUAAAUACACCAAUAAUGCUAUGAAGAACCUUAAUAGUUUUGCUUUUUUUUUUCCCGCUCUUUGGAUAGAGAGCGUGAUUUUGGGGGGACCAACCUAACAACAUGAGGCUGCUAAACCCACCCUCCAAUGAACUGCGCACAACUGUCCCUAUAGGGUUCGGAUUGUAUCUGUCACACACACACAUAGAAUGAUCUUCUUUCACAAUAUCGAUAUCAUCUUGUAUAUAUCUCGAAGCACUCUAAACUCUUUCGUUCAUCCGUCUGCAUAAAUCUUAAAAUGGUUAUUUUGUAAUCCAGUAGUGAUUCGCACAAAGAGAGCUGAAUUCUCCUUUCACACGGAACCUUUGCACGAAAAAUACAACUCCUGUCUGUCUUUGCGUCGGCUUUGAUUACCUGUGCACGUUCCUAACAUGUUCUUCUAUGCAUAAUAGGGGGAGACCCUUGAAAUACAUGUGGUCCUUUGCCUUGUAUAUAAAUUCCUGUUUUCAAGGUAAUUCAGAAUUUUUCGGAAUUAUCCUGCAAUCAAGGUUAUGACUGGCAUCAGAGCUGACACAGUCACAAACUGAUUGCAACUCGUGAAAUAUAGAACUAUUUAGCUUGUUUGAUCUCUGUCACGGGGAGGGAUAAUCAAGUUAACAACCAUCUGGAAAUUUGGAAUUAAUGCUUCUUCCUGUUUGACCCGAGAGAGUCCAAAUGGGUUAGAUGAUCGAGCACAUUAAACGCAAAUGAGGGGGCAUAGCGUUCGAGUAGGUUCGUAAAUUCUCGAUGGCCGUUCCAAUAUAUAUAUAUAUAUGUAGAAGAGGAGCCGGGUCGACCUCGUAUGCCUCAAUGCUUGUCGGCAUCGAAGGCCCACACGGACGCCGCGAGUGCGACCCGGGUCACCUCGGCGCCUUACCCACCAAUGGAAAGGGAGAGGGAGUAAAUAAAAAAGAAGAUUCUCCACUGAUUGAAGCACUCAAGAAAUAAGUUUAGGCUGGUUGAUACUAUAUGGCCAGGUCUUUUUGGAUCAGUUGGUAUCUGAAACCAAUACGGAAGGCUUUAUUCAGAGCUCGGUGGGUGUGCAGCACAUGCGACGAAUGGGAAGUGGUAGAGAGUGGGAACUAGGAAGGCAAGCGUGGGUGGAUAUAUAUAUAUAGUAGGUCGUGCCCAGAUACUUUUGGAUCAGUUGAUAUUUGAAGACAAUCUGUAAGGUUUUUUCUGAGAGCUUGGUAGGUGCCAUGAAAGGGAAAUGGCAGGGAGUUGGGACUACGAAGGCAAUGGAGUGGGCCAUCGCGUGCUCGAGGGGAAAAAUAUAUGGUUAGGUGGCCUUUGCCCGCUGGGGAGGAGAGAUUAUCAGCUGAUGCCCACCUUCCAAAAGUAGGGUUCUCUUUGAAGCAGUAAAUGUGCUCUCUUUGAAUCCCUCCCCCUCUUCCGGUUUCCAUCUAUCUCCUUCUUGAUCUAAUCUCUAUUUACUCUUGUAACGCUCCGAAGUGAUAGGGGGAGGGGGGAGGGGGGAGUGGGAGUGAAAAUGAGAGGUAGUCCGAUCGCAAUAAAAACCGAAAAGGUGAUGAUGACAAAGCAGAAUAAAGCACACGACGGGACGCAUGCAAGGAUAAAGUGUCACGAGUCAUGACCAAGUCCAAGUUCUUUUAUGAUUUCUCCAUUGCAGUCCAACCAACGCUAGUUUUUUACUGCCUAAUGCACCCUAAAACAAGAAACGUAUGGAAACCAAGGUUCAUGAUUGUAGAGAAUUGUUCGCUUUCAUGUUGUUCCGAGUUUGAUUUCCUGCAUUUGUAAAAGAAACGUGCCCUACCUUACCCUGCCACGGAAUUACCACUCUCACCACUAGCUGCCACUUUCUUCUGAAUUGCAGCAAUGUCGCGUUAGACUGCAAUAAGAAACAUUUAGGAGCAACAGCUGUUCCUUUUCUGUCGUGGUUCAUUGCACCUAUCUACUGCCAUAUAGGACAGGCAAGAGAGUGGAAAAUGUAACGAUGACUGGUAGUUGUUUUUUUUUCUUCCACAUUUUUUCCUCUGAUGGAUGUGAAAGUAAAACAUCAUUAUAUUCGAGACCGGUUCCAACCAUCAUCAUCAUCAGUGGUAAGAAGAAAAAUAUAUGGUUGAAAACUGGAUGACCAAAGGAAAGGUUCUGCAGAAAGAAGCGAAGCCCGCCAGGAAAUUAGCAGUGAGAUUCAACAACCAAUGAUUCUGCUGUACUCCUGUCUGAUGUGGCAGGCAGAUAUUGGUGCAAUUCAUAGGAGGUGGGGCCAUUUCGCGGGUACCAUAUCCCUGUUAAAACGUAACAAAAGAUUAAUAUGUUGAAUUCCAUUAAUUACCUUCCACGAGGGAGGCUAGCUCGUGAACCUUUUUCUUUUGUCUGUUCUGGUUGGUCCUCUUGGAUGAAAGCCAAGUUUGUCCAUGCAGCUGGCUUGUCAGGUGAGUUGAGGGAGUUGAUUUGAUUCACGCGUCAGGCGUGGUGCCAAAUUUUAAAAACAGAUUAACUUUAGAGAUUAUAAAUUUACUUAUAUUUAAGCAUUAUGGCAUGGCCGCGUAGUUUUUUUUGGAGAAUUAUUUUUGGUAAACGCAACUAAAACUUUAACCAAUUAGCAGUCAAACGAUUUUUGGACCAAACCAAAAAAAAUCGGUCAUACUAUUUUCUUAAACGAGGAUGGUUUAAUGGAGUCGCCUUCCUUCCCGCUCCAACUGGUACCCGGCCCAUCAACUAAUGCUCUCAUUCUGUCGUCUUAUUAAUUACUUCAGUUGCCUGGACCGGGCAGCGAUCAUGGAGGAUCCGGCCGUCGAGCAGAGCAAGUGGCGGCUGUCGACGCUGACCGACGUGGAGGAGGUGAAGCAGGUGAUCCGGAUGCUGCCGGUGUGGGCCACGACCAUCAUGUUCUGGACCGUCUACGCUCAAAUGAGCACCUUCUCGGUCUCCCAAGCCACCACCAUGGACCGGCGCAUCGGCCCCUCCUUCCAGAUCCCCGCCGGCUCCCUCACCGUCUUCUUCGUCGGCUCCAUCCUCCUCACGGUUCCUAUCUACGACCGCCUCGUCGUCCCCGCCGCCCGCCGACUCACCGGCAACCAGCAGGGCCUCACCCCGCUCCAGCGCAUCGCCGUCGGCCUCGUCUUCUCCAUCUUCGCCAUGGCGGCCGCCGCGCUCACCGAGCGCAGGCGGCUCCACGCGGCGUGGGCUGCGAGCUCGUCCUCCGCCGUCGAUCCGGGGUCGACGUCGGCGCCGCUGAGCGUGUUCUGGCUGGUGCCGCAGUUCUUCUUCACGGGCGCCGGGGAGGCCUUCACGUACAUCGGCCAGCUGGAUUUUUUCUUGAGGGAGUGUCCCAAGGGGAUGAAGACCAUGAGCACUGGUCUCUUCCUCAGCAGUCUCGCGUUGGGUUUCUUUUUAGCUCGGCUCUGGUGAGUAUUGUCCACAAGGUGACGGGGGGACCCGGGAGGGGGGCGUGGCUCGCCGACAAUCUGAACGAAGGGAGGCUCUACGACUUCUACUGGCUCCUCGCCGUGCUGAGCGCGGUCAAUUUAGGGCUGUUCUUGGUAUCCUCCAAGGGGUACGUUUACAAGGAGAAGAGGAUGGCGGCGGGGGAGGAAGGGAGCGUGGUCACGGUGGAGCUGGCGGACGAAGCCUCUCGCCAAGCUUGAGCUUUUCUUUCUUUCGAACUGCUGCCGAGUGUAAUAUAGUCUGUCUCGACUCUCGAGUUAAGGUAACGGAUAGUUUGAGUCUGGCUCUCUCCCUUCGUUCCUACGAUGCAUCAAAUUAAGCUGUGUAAAACUGAACCAGUCGAUGUAUCUACUGGCGCUUCGAUUCUCUUCUUCUCAGUGGAAAACCUUCUUCUCUCAAGCAUAAAAUAUGAGAAAAAGUGCCUGAAAUAUGGAAUCAGUGGUACUGAUAUAUAGGGAGAAUUUCACCGUAGACUCACCUAUACGUACGGUGUUUGACCGCAAGAAAACCGCGCGCACUUUCUGGUCGGAAUUCAGAAAAACAAACAUUUGGGCCUCGCAAGGUCUCAUGCGCGGCAUUAGGCUAUUAGCAGUGCACCGGCUCCGGAUUUAACCUGGCACUAUGUUUUUUCGGCAGGCAGCCGCUCUCGAGUUUGGAAGACCUUUAAUUGGGUCGGGCCAGAUAGCCAAUUACGAUUCACCGAUUUGAACUGGGAUCACUAUGAGUUUGGAUGAUGGAUCUAUAACCCAAGUCUGAAACUGGCAAUUUGGCCUAGCAUUUUCAUGUCCAUUAGAAUUUAUCGAAAUCGUGAACUUCAGGAGAGGUAGAACCAUCGUCCAGAUUGCAAGUGCUCAACCUGCAGUGGCAUUACCAAUAUCCUAAACAUAGUCUAACAAUUUAUUAGAGGGAAGGUCUCAAAAACGGUAAUACUAAUUAACUGUUGAUAUCUUGAUUUGCUAGCAAAAUAAAUCCAUAAAAUAUUUGAAAAUAUGUUAACCGGACCGAAUGCACGCUUGACCCAAGUUAAUUUCCUCAAGUUACAUUUUGAUGAGAAAAACAUAAGAUCCAAAAUUUACAACUUCCAAAUUCUCAAUCAAAUGACAUCGGCGCGUUAGGGUUACCGAAGCUGUCAUCUUUUAUAUUCUUAGGGAAAGCGGCCUAAAUCAGGGUUAUGUGAGAGUGGCCUACCAACACUGCUUGGGUCCAAAAGGGACCAAGCCCGGGUGUCCCAGCGCCCAUGUGAUCAUGCAAGAACAUUAGGUCACAAGAAAAAGAAGAAAGUAGCGAAAGUUACUUCCACCCCGGGGACAAGUGCAAUUCAUGGGCAAACUUUAGAAAUUCGUGGCCCAUGAUCUUUUCUAGAAGCAAACUGAACCUUUCAUUGGAACUAAUGUUGCACCAGUAGGGCAUCCUCGGUCAAGCAUCCACGCAAUUAACGACCAUGGUAUAGAUGUUGCACAUUGCCCAGAAUAUCAUUUCAGUUCAUUUUGACGUAAUAAUACCCGUAUGGUCCAAAAACAAGACUAAUUAGUAGUAUUAUUGUCAGGUUAGCUACAAGACGUAAUAAGAAAAGAAUUUGGAACAAGCAUGUCUUCAACUAUAGCGCUUUUGUAAGACUGAAGUCAGCAUAAUGUGGUUUGAUCACAGUAAAUCGUAAUUGUCAUUGGUGCAGAUGCACAGCAGAUGGCAACCCUAUGGCUUUGGUGUGUAUCGCGUGGCACACAAUUAUGUAACAAAGUACCGACAAACUCUAAUGGAGUAAUAAAAAGUAAAGUAUUAACAUCAAAAUAAUUAAUAAAAUAUGAGUACCGAAUUAUGUCCGAGCAAUUUGGGAUCCAGGGAGGGAUAAAUUAACUAGGGACAGACGUAGUCUUUGAUAAUUUUUUAUACAAAAUAUUAGUUCUAGAAUUUGAACCAGUAUUAUUGUACUUGUCAGUUCAAGUUUUUACUUUUUUUUUUCUUUUCAGUCAAAAGUUUUUGAGGGCCUCGGCCAUCAUAUGAACGUUCAUCAUUUCAAUUAUUGGAUAAGAAUAACAUCUCUUGGUUCAUCAUUUCAGCUAUUCUAUAGUUAUAACCACAUAAUCAGAACAUUCCCCUCUGUUAGGAACAUAAUGACUCUACGGUUGUAAGUACGGAACAGAAUGACUCUAUGGUUGUAAGUAUGGAAUAGAAUGCCUCUACGGUUGUAACUACGUGAUCUUGUAUACUUUAGAUAUACUUGUUGCUGGAAAUAAUAAUGCCAUUUAUUCUAGCCUUUAUUUCUAAGUUUACAUGCAUAAGCCAGACCUUGAUAUAAUGGUAAGUAAGGUUGCUCCAUGUGGUUUGCGUAUCAUGGAUCCGAAAUAUGGAAAUAGUUAGUCUUUCCACAUGCAAGGAUAAAAUUUUGUAUAUCCAAACUUCUUUAGGUUUGUAAUGACGAAAAUGCAGGGAUAAAGCUGCAUAUAUGAACUUCUCCGGACCUCAUAGUAAUAACGGGAGUGCAUUGGGACUUUUUUUUUUUUUGAAGAAAAAGUUCUUAUUUUCUUCAAAUGAACUUUGGAAGCGUUAAAUAACAGCUCUAUAACAGCAAAUAACUAGAUCAUUAUCUCUUUUUUUUUUCGUUAUCUUCAUGUACGAGGUAAGACACUAACAAUAGUUCUUCUAUUUUUCCUCUCCCCCACCAAAUAUGAAGGACGAUGUAAGACGGUAACGAGGGUUCUGCUACUUUCCUUCUCCACUACCAAACACAAAUGACUCGGAAAGAAUUGGACAUUGAAAUUAUUUUCCUCAUCUCAAUAAAGACCGAAGGCUUAAUAAGCACGUAGAAAUCGAAACGUACAAGGACAGAUACAUCUAAGGUGGUAGACCUAUCCCACGACGAUACACGAGGUUUUGAAUCUUCGCGCUUUUUCGGACCCAAGAUAGCAGUUAUGAUACACGACCCACCCCUUCAUAGAACCAGUAACCGAUCCCUUCCGAGGACCACAAUACCUUCCAAUCAUAUGAACGCAAGAACAAACCAACCAACAGUAGGGCAUGAAGAAGAGGUCGGCUAUGGAACGACCCUACGCAGUUCUCCAGAGGAAGCUGGACGAACUUGAAUACAUUCUAAACGAAAUGUUCUCCCAUUCAGCCAAGGUGGAUAAGAGUGAAUUCUAUGAUGAGAUCAUGGCAAGGAUUGGUUUCCUUAAGACACUGCAUGCCGCCGAGAUGGAGUCCAACGCUCAGGGAACCGGUCCCCAUCUUCCUCACAUUGCCGGAAGGCUGACGGCCCUUGAGGAUGCCUUCCACAAUUGGGUUGAUUCCGGGAUCCUGCCGGAAGACCAUCUCGAUGAUCUUUCGGUGUGCUCAUGCACACAUUCAUGCUUCAACGACGUGGUGGAGGAUGAUGAUUGUGUGCCCGAACCAGAAUAUUUUGCUCCCAUGCCAAUCAAGACACAGGUUAUGAGUUCACAGGACAUGGGAGAGGAGAGGAAAAGGAACCGGCUCGGCAGCCUGCCGUGUGGUUUUAUGAGCGCAGCAGUGGCAGUUGCCGCAAUGGUGAUAGGGUUGGCCACUAACUUCAGUAGGGUGGAGGAGAGAGUUUUCCUUGUGCCAACCUGAUAGACAUUAUGAUCAAUCUUUUCUGUGUUCGCGUUUUAUCUUUGUUUCUUUUCUUUUAUUGUUGUUGUACUCUUUUCGUGUUUCUCAGCGUUUGUUUGUUGUUUAUUUUAAUUUGAGAAGGCCUGAGUAGCAUUUUUUUUUUUGGUUUUCUAUGAUUAACAUUUUUCUAAUGGUAUAAUAUCAUUGCCUUUCCGGUGUUGGUCGCUGUAUGUGUCAUAGUUAAUUUUUCUAAUCUAUGUUAAUUUGUUUUCCUCUCAUUGUUGAAACAUUCAAGCCUCUUUGAAGGUUCCAUAGCAAGGCAAUUAUUCUGAACAGGCUAACUGACCACCGCUGGUUCAUGUGUGUUCCUAAAUACUUUGUUUAAAAUUUAGAAUCAUGUCAGGGAUUUAAAUUCGAAAUACAAUCAAUGAGUUUAAUCACAAAGUCGUCUAAAGAUGAAGAGGUCAUUUCCUCUUCAAAUGCUAUGAAUUGCCCCAAAAAAUAAACCUUUCUUCUUCUCCUCCUCCUCCCUGUUUUCUCCCCCUCUGAGACACUCCAUGCUGGGGGCGGAUGGACACGCGAGGCUUACCAUAGACCAUACUUCCGGUGUAAUUUGUCUAAGUUCAUUUUUCCUUCUAAGUCUUCUUGAUAGUGUACCAGAAUAGAACACCCAAGAAAGCCACAAUUGCCACAAACACCACUGAAAAACCACUGCGACCUAAAUUUCUUUGCCUCUUAAGCAGCUCCUGCAACGAAAACUUUGAGACAGAAAUUGGCUAUUUGUUAUUUGGAAUUCAAAGAAAAAACCAAAAAAAUUGAGAUGAACACAAGUGGAAUUCAGUAUUAAAAAAAUAAACUUUUUUUGUACGUAUACCUCUAAAAUAUAUAAAAUUGCAUGAAUAUCCUCGUAAAAUUACUAUUUGCAUGCAUAUACUUCUUUUUCUUCUUUGUUGCAUGUGUACAUGUACCGUCUAAUAUCGUUAAAAAAAUAAAUGGCUUAAAACUAAAAUGACAGACAUACCCUUAUAGGUGGAUAUGCAAAAAAAAAGUUUGCGAAGACAUUCAUGCAAUUUCUAAUAUUUAGAAGAUUAUACAUUCAAAAUCUAUUAAAAAAAAUCAAAACUCGGAUGGAAAUUUUAUGAUUCAGUUGGAUCGACAAGUCAAAAAAGGAUUGAGCCACGUUGUCAAUUUUCUAUUUUAAGAUCAUAACGCAGUCGAGUUAGAAUAUUAAGUGAUCAUUUUGGUAAUGCUAUUCUCCAUUUAUUUUUAUAUAAUUAUCAUUAUUGAAUCUAUGACAUCUAUAUAUUCUUCAUUAUUUUUAAAACAUUAAAGCAUACCAAAUUUAAAUUAAUUAUAAAUGCUUAGAUUAGUAAAAUAUUUUUAGUAAUAUAAAUGUUGAGUUGUUUGUUUUUGUGGCAAGAAUUUUGAAAAAUCAACAUGAUUCAUUUUGUAAGAGUUGAUAUUAACAUGAGAUCAUGUGACAUGAUAAUAUUAAUUUUUUUUUUGCCACUUUUUUUUAUUAAAAACAACUGAAUCAUCUUUACCGAAUUUUGAUCAUUUUUAUUGAAUUUUUUUAAGUGUAUACCCUCCUAAAUAUGUGUAAUUGCAUGAAUACCCUUGCAAAGUUACUAUUUGUAUGUAUAUCCUUGUAAAGUUUUUUUUUUUGCACAUCUACUUGUAAGGUUAUUUCAAUCAUUUUAAAUUUAAAUCGUUUAUUUUUUAACAAUAUUAGAUGGUAUGGGUAUAUAUACAUAUAUAAAGAAAAGAGUAUAUAUGCAAAAAAGUAUUUUAUGAGAGUAUACAUGCAAAUAGCAAUUUUACGAGGAUAGUCGUACAUUUUUGUAUAUUUUAGAUGGCAUAUAUGCAAAAAAAACAAAAAAAUUAAUAGACAGUAUCAUUGCUAUAUUUAUCAGGUAUCAUUGCUAUAUUUAUCCACCAAUUUUGCAACAAACAAUGGCAUCACUGCUAUCUACAACCGCAGAAGAUUAAGAUAGUAUUAUAGAAUCAAAAUCAUCAUUUCAUGUGAAUAAUAUGCUCCAUGGUCUGCUGAACAUUGUUAUUCACUAUACACAAAAACUGGUGUCACAAACUCAAAUAAAAAAAAAUAUGCCAUUGAUAUUUGCUCAUUCAUCUGGAAGAUCAGGCUUGACAGGCCUUGUCAUGCGAUCCUGAACUUGAUGAGUAGAGACUCUUAUUGUUUGUUGUGAAAAGGCUGUUGGAGGAGGCUUCAUGAUGGCUCCAACUAUAUGGAUCAUCCUGAUGUGUUAAGGUUCCUCUUCAAAUUCAGUAAUCCUCCCCCAAAGAGAUAUUUACUCCUAGAUCAUGAUAGAAAUACCUAAUAUCACACACACUCUCUCUCUCCAAACACUUCCUGUACAUUAAUGGGUUUUCAUUAACUUCUUGUGCAUACAACCAAACUGCGCUUCCAUUUUCUUGUCCAUUCUGUCCAUGAAGGUUUAAUCCCUAGAAAAUGCUGUCUUUCUCAUACCUCUCACAAUUUUUUGUCCAGCAUCCCUCCUAAACCAAAUUUGAAACUUUCAGCCCAAGAUGAGCUCCAAAGUUUUUAAUUGCACAAAAUUCUNNNNNNNNNNNNNNNNNNNNNNNNNNNNNNNNNNNNNNNNNNNNNNNNNNNCCUUUCCUUCAAAUGUAAGGUUCAUGACUCUUCAUCAUUUCCAUGUCCACUUACGUGCUUAAACCUUCUACAUUAGACGAAAUCCCAAACAAUAAUAUGAUGUCAAAACUUAUGACUACUAAAUAGUCUUAUGGCAAUACAUCAAUUAUUUAACUCUGCAAUUUAUUAAGACCACCAAACACACUUAUCUGCUCUUCAUGGGUAUAUAGGAAACACUAACAUGCCUAUUGGUCCCUUCGUUGCAUCCUAAUAAAACCAUACUGAAAAUAUGCCUUCCAGAAGCUCAUGCAUUGAUGGAGUGCAAGCUGAUUGAGUUAAGCCUGGCUAAAUAGAAAAAGUCAAAUUGCAAAUUGAACAAGGAAAAUACCUAUGGAUCACUUUAUGGGGCAGAUUCUAUAGGAUAACUGAUGUCAUUCAUAUUUUCUCAUUAGCAUGGCAUCACUAGGGCACAAAAAGAUGUGUUACCAGUUAGUUCUUGUGGACCCAAUUGAUGUCAUGUUGAUAAAAAAAUGAUACCACAUUAGCUAACCGAAGAGCUUGCCCCGUGAAAUGGUCAGCCCAAUAAUGUUCAUUGAAAACACACUACAAGAAAAUAGAUCCUGCAUGUGAAACAUCAAGAAAAAUUGAGAAAAACACGCAGCAAGAUUUUCAACUAACAAACUUUUUUCACAAAACCACCGGACUCAGGCGGCAAAGGAACAAAACCUCGGUACGGGCCGGUAUGAACCGGUCUGGGCAGGGACCGAUACCGGAUCAGCGUAGGAUUCGGUACCGGGAGCUUUUCAUUGAAAAACCGGCCGGUACGACCGUCGUACCGGUUCGGGCCGCCAUUGGUACGCCGACCAGUACCGGUACGGCGGACCUUGGAAGAAACCAUUGAUGAAGAUCAGGAUAUUAAGGAUAAGUUGUGUAACUUUUACACAAGCAGGCAGGCUCAAUAAGUUAAUUGCAUCCCAUUAGAUGUGCCUCUUGUGCCGAAUGUUCUAUUGAUUGAGGAUCAAUACCACUUGUGCCGUGAGGUUGGAAAAGAUGAGAUUGAAGCAGUUCGCUGAACCAUGGCAUCUGAUAGGGCACCUGGCCCUGAUAGUUUUCCCCUAGGUUUUUACAAAGGUUAUUGGGGCAUAGUGAAACAGGACAUCAGCAAUGCGUCGAGAACUUUUGUACAACCAGAAACAAACCACAAGCUUGGAAAGCCACAUUCAUAGUCUUGAUUCUCAAAUGCAGCAAUCCAACCUUGCCAUCUCAUUAUUGGCCCAUAAGUCUAUGUAAUACAGUUAUAAACUGAUUGCUGAAAUUCUAACUGCUUUCACAUCCGGGAGAUCAAUUUCUGAUAAUGUAAUUUUAGCACAGGAGGCCCUUCACUUGCUUAACAGGGCUGGUGCUCGGAAACCAUUGAUGGUAAUCAAACAUGAUAAGCAGCUGCUUAUAAUAGUUAAGUGGGACUAAUUGGAAGAAGUGAUGUAUCACUUUUAUUUUCCAAAGCAAUGGAUUAAACGGAUAAAUGGGGGUAACAGGGGACCUAGCUUUUCAAUUUUGAUCAAUGGAACACCUACUGCAUUCUUUAAUUCAACAAUGGGGUUAAGGCAGGCGGUCCCCUGUCACCAUGCCUAUUUGUUUUAUGUUCUUGGAUGAUGUCAAGGGCAUCAAACAAAGCAAUGGAAGAUGGUUGUGGUGCUGGUACUGUCAAGGCGUCAACUAUCCAAUAUUUGCCUAUGAUUGUCUACUUCUUUCAAGGGGUCAAUCAUCCAAUAAAUCAUUGCAGAACUUAAAGAACAUUAUCAAAACCUAUUGCCAACAUUCGGGCUAUAAUGUGAAUUUAGAAAAAUCUGCAGAAUUGUUCAGUCCUAAAAUUAGUCAUGAUUUGGCUAGCAACUUGGCUUCUCUGUUGGGUAUCAUGAGUUGAAGGGCUAGACCAAUAUCCUGG
rnacentral:lncRNA from 1 species